rnacentral:rRNA from 1 species
UGGAGCGUGUGGUUUAAUUCGAUGCUACACGAAGAACCUUACCUGGGCUUGACAUGGCGGUGGUAGGGAACCGAAAGGGGACCGACCUUUGGGAGCCGUCACAGGUGCUGCAUGGCUGUCGUCAGCUCGUGUCGUGAGAUGUUCGGUUAAGUCCGGUAACGAGCGCAACCCUCAGGUCCAGUUACAAGUGUCUGGACCGACUGCCCGUUGAGCGCGGGAGGAAGGUGGGGAUGACGUCAAGUCAGCAUGGCCUUUAUAUCUUGGGCA